GUGGGGAAUAUUGCGCAAUGGGGGAAACCCUGACGCAGCAACGCCGCGUGAUUGAAGAAGGCCUUCGGGUUGUAAAGAUCUUUAAUUGGGGACGAAAUAAAUGACGGUACCCAAAGAAUAAGCUCCGGCUAACUACGUGCCAGCAGCCGCGGUAAUACGUAGGGAGCAAGCGUUAUCCGGAUUUACUGGGUGUAAAGGGCGCGCAGGCGGACUGACAAGUCAGAGGUGAAAUCCUGCAGCUUAACUGCAGAACUGCCUUUGAAACUGCCAGUCUUGAGUGCGGAAGAGAGAGACGGAAUUCCAGGUGUAGUGGUGAAAUACGUAGAUAUCUGGAAGAACACCAGUUGCGAAGGCGGUCUCUUGGUCCGUUACUGACGCUCAGGCGCGAAAGCGUGGGUAGCAAACAGGAUUAGAAACCCUUGUAGUCC
rnacentral:rRNA from 1 species